GAUGAACGCUGGCGGCGUGCUUAACACAUGCAAGUCGAGCGGAGAUAAAAUGAAAGCUUGCUUUUAAUUUAUCUUAGCGGCGGACGGGUGAGUAACGUGUGGGCAACCUGCCUCAUACAGAGGGAUAAUCAUGUGAAAACGUGACUAAUACCGCAUAAUGCAUCAAUUUCGCAUGUUAUUGAUGCCAAAGGAGCAAUCCGCCUUUAGAUGAGCUCGCGUCUGAUUAGCUAGUUGGCGGGGUAACGGCCUACCAAGGCGACGAUCAGUAGCCGGACUGAGAGGUUGAACGGCCACAUUGGGACUGAGACACGGCCCAG
rnacentral:rRNA from 1 species